rnacentral:rRNA from 1 species
GACGAACGCUGGCGGCGUGCUUAACACAUGCAAGUCGAACGGAAAGGCCCUGCUUUUGUGGGGUGCUCGAGUGGCGAACGGGUGAGUAACACGUGAGUAACCUGCCCUUGACUUUGGGAUAACUUCAGGAAACUGGGGCUAAUACCGGAUAGGAGCUCCUGCUGCAUGGUGGGGGUUGGAAAGUUUCGGCGGUUGGGGAUGGACUCGCGGCUUAUCAGCUUGUUGGUGGGGUAGUGGCUUACCAAGGCUUUGACGGGUAGCCGGCCUGAGAGGGUGACCGGCCACAUGGGGACUGAGAUACGGCCCAGACUCCUACGGGAGGCAGCAGUGGGGAAUAUUGCACAAUGGGCGGAAGCCUGAUGCAGCAACGCCGCGUGCGGGAUGACGGCCUUCGGGUUGUAAACCGCUUUCGCCUGUGACGAAGCGUGAGUGACGGGAAUGGGUAAAGAAGCACCGGCUAACUACG